rnacentral:sRNA from 1 species
UAUCUCUCCGUACGGGGAAGGAUGAGAAGCUUCGACUAAGGUUCGAUGCGAGCGCAGCGAGAAAGCGUUGCCGCAGGCAACGACCCGAAGGGCGAAGCGCGCAGCGCUGAGUAAUCCUUCCCCCACCACCA